UACGAAGGGGGCGAGCGUUGUUCGGAUUUACUGGGCGUAAAGGGCGCGCAGGCGGUUCUAUUUGUCGAGUGUGAAAGCCCCGGGCUCAACCUGGGAACUGCGCUCGAAACGGCGGAACUAGAGUUCGGUAGGGGAGACUGGAAUUCCUGGUGUAGCGGUGAAAUGCGCAGAUAUCAGGAGGAACACCGGUGGCGAAGGCGGGUCUCUGGGCCGAUACUGACGCUGAGGAGCGAAAGCGUGGGGAGCGAACAGG
rnacentral:rRNA from 1 species